rnacentral:snRNA from 1 species
GUGCUCACUUUGGCAGCAAAUGUACUAAAACUGGAACGAUACAGAGAAGAUUAGCAUGGCUUCUGCACAAGGAUGACACACAAAUUCGUGAAGCGUUCCAUAUUUUU